rfam:Cavia porcellus supercont2_240 genomic scaffold, whole genome shotgun sequence.
GCCGGGCGUGGUGGCGCGUGCCUGUAGUCCCAGCUACUUGGGAGGCUGAGGUGGGAGGAUCGCUUGAGUCCAGGAGUUCUGGGCUGCAGUGCGCUAUGCCGAUCGGGUGUCCGCACUAAGUUCGGCAUCAAUAUGGUGACCUCCCGGGAGCGGGUGACCACCAGGUUGCCUAAGGAGGGGUGAACCGGCCCAGGUCGGAAAUGGAGCAGGUCAAAACUCCCGUGCUGAUUAGUAGUGGGAUGGCGCCUGUGAAUAGCCACUGCACUCCAGCCUGGGCAAUAUAGUGAGACCCUGUCUCUA